AAAAGAUCAAUUAAUUGCACGCGUCCGCCACCACUCUGCCCACAGAUCUGAGCUUAAAACCAUCCCAAGUCCCAAUAUUGUUAAUAUUGGGACAUGAAAUUUCUACAAACAAAGCAUACUUGUGUUGUUGGGCAACAUUUCAACGCCUUCAUCACAUGUUACUGUGACCAUUACCAAGUCCUCCAUCAGCCCGUUUAGUGAUUCCUAAAAAUCUUCGAACACAAGGUCCCAAAAAAAAAAAAAAAACUUAACCGAAUCAACCAAAAUCUCCAGAGAAAUUAAAAGAACAAUAAAUCACAAAAUCAAAAGUACCCUUAAAACCAUAGAGUGAUGCCCAAAUCAUCCCAAAAGAAAAAAAAAAAAAAACUCAAGUGGAUUCGAUGCAACAAGAAAAGAAGGGAAGAAAAUAAUUAAGGCAAUCUACGAUAAGAGAGGACUGGGUGGGCUGGCGAACUGACCUACAGAAGGGGAGAGCGGCGAGAGGUGAACAGGGGGAGCCAAGACAAGGGUUUAGGUUUUGCAAACAGACCAAGCAUAUGCGGGCGCUGGGUGGC
rnacentral:lncRNA from 1 species